UGGAGAACUUCUGGUUGACUUUUGUGGAAUUAACAACUUAGUAAUUGGUGGAACCAUCUUCCCACACAAAGACAUUCACAAGCUAACUUGGAACUCGCCAAAUGGAAGAGACAAAAAUCAAAUAGACCACAUUAUGAUCAAUGGAAAAUGGAAAAGAUCCUUACAAGAUGUCAGAGUAAAGAGAGGAGCUGACAUUGCAAGUGAUCACUUUCUAAUAACAGCCAAUAUAAAGUUGAAACUUAAAAAGAUGUCUUCACCAACAACCAUUAAAAGAAAAUUUGAUAUAAAUAAAUUGCAAGACACCAAAGUAAAACAAGAAUUUAACCUGCAGAUAAAGAACAGAUUUCAGGUCCUAGAAGACACAAUAGAAGAAACAUCAGAACCAGCAUCGAUAAACAACAAAUGGCUAAAAGUAGAAGAAAUAUACAAAGAAACCAGUGAAAAAGUUCUUGGCUAUAAAAGACAAAUACAUAAAGAAUGGAUUACACAAGGAACAUGGAAAUUGAUUGAUGAAAGAAAAGAAAUAAACAACAAACUCUGUCAGACUUAUUCAGAAAGAAUAAAAGAUAAGCUGAGGAAGGAAUACUCAGAAUGCAAUAAGAAAGUGAAGAAAGCAACACGAAGUGACAAAAGAAAGUAUACAGAAGACCUUGCAAAAGAAGCAGAAAAUGCUGCAUCCAACCAGAGAAUGGGACAGGUUUACCAAGUUGUAAAACAGCUAUGCAACAAGAAAACUAAUAAGAGCAUGCCAAUUAAAGACAAACAAAACAACACAUUAUCAUCCGAAAAAGAACAAAAGGAAAGAUGGAAAGAACAUUUUCAAGAAGUUCUCAAUAGAAAAGAACCAGAGAAAAUACAGUUAGCAUCGAUAUCACAGAAACACCAUUAGAAUUAGAUAUAGAUCUUUAUGCGCCAACCAAACUAGAAAUCCAGAGAGCACUAAAAAGUUUAAGGAAUAGAAAGGC
rnacentral:lncRNA from 1 species